UUGGGGUGGCGUUGCCGUUGCCGUGGCGACGCGGUGCGACAUGGCGGCGGACGGGCCGGGCACGUGGCAGCGGCUGUGCGCAGAGUGUGAAGCAGAACAGCGUCUGUUUCCAGACAUUCCUGAAUCGAUGUGGGAAUCUGUGAGCAUAGUUCAAAAUCUUCAUAAGGUGAGUUUGGACACAGGAAUGUUGCAGCCAUUGUAUACAGAACAAUUUUACCCAUCCCCUGCAGCUGAUGCAGUUGUCCAACAGUUGCUUCCCAUACCCAACGCAGACCCCCUUCCACAAGCGCCUGAUCCAAAAACAUUGUUUUGUGCAGGUUCUUCUCAAGAAUAUUUAGAGUACUACAUAUUUCCAGUCCUCUUACCCGGAAUGAUUGAACUUCUGCAUCAAGCAAAGAAGGAAAAGUGCUUUGAGAGAAAAAGGACCAAAUUUAUUGCCUGUGAUUUCCUAACGGAGUGGUUAUACAACAACAACCCGAGGAGGAAAGAUGAGUCAUUCACGGAGUUCUUUUCCAUCCCUUUUGUUCAGGACUGGCUAAAGGACCAUCCCAGGCAGCCAUUUCCUCUGUCUUUCUUCCUGUCAGAAGAAGAAGCAAGCAUAAUAAUUCAGGCAUUCUGGAGAGGUUAUCGGGUCCGCUGUGAUACGGAAGUACAAGAGCUGCGUGAGUGGCAAAAGCAGUUCAGAGAUGAAAAAAUCAUUUCUGAGACAGUGGGAAAAUUCUGGGCUGAGCAGGAAGCCAAAGAUCCAGUCACAUACAGGAUCAACAGGCAAAAAUCAAAAGGCCAAGGAGCUUUGAACAAAUGUCAGCUGCCAUCCAAAGAGGAGACUUUUGAAGCUGCUGCUAAAACACAUGGAGAGAAAAUACCUUCCUAACCCAACACUGUCACACGUGAGCGCUCUUUUCCUUCGUGCCUGCUCUGCAUCCAGAGGAAACAUGAAGACCCAGGGAAAACAAGGAUAUGUCGAGAUGAAUAAAGAGGGCAGGAUACAAAUCCUGGAGUUCUCAUUGGUUGGCAGCAUCGAGGAGACAGUGAGAUUUGUGUGGCUGCUGCAAGAGGGUUUCUCUCUAACUGCUGCUGGUGUCACACAUUGCUCCUUGUGGUGCAAAGGACUACCUGGUGGGGCCGAGUCACCAAGCAUGGAUGGAGAGGAGAAGGGGAAAUGAAAAAAGGGAAGAAGAGAAUUGAAAUUGCCAUGAAGCAAGAGGAGGAUGGUAGGAAGGACAUGGACCUUGUGUCUGGCCUGAGGACUUAUUGACUUGAAUCUGUGUUUGCUUUAUUCUAAGUACUUUUAUUUAUAUCUAUGCUCAUCUUGCACCUACACUGAGAUGUAAAGAUAUCGGGGUUGUCUUCAUUUUUUUCUUUGUCACAUCUCUGGAGAGGUCAGGAAACUGCACUCAGGAGCUUUGCUGGCCUUCCUUUUUAUUGGUGUGCUACGUGAGAAAUAUUGCCCCCUGUGGUGGACUGUCUGUACAUAUAAGCACACGUAGAUAACAUUUACAUCCUGACAGAAGGGGGAACAGCAGCCCCUCUCUAUGAACUGCCCGGGCUCUUCUGUUGCUAAGUCUGUCCCCCAUUGCUCAGCCAGCAGCUCUAAGCAGCUCUGCAACAGUCUGACAAGAGAAGGACGCUGCUCAACCUUUAGACAUUACACGCUGAGAUGGUCCUGUUUUAUGUAACUGCAGACAGCAGUAAUUCUGUGAAUGGAAACUGAGAAGUCUUCCUCUUUUAUAAAACAUCCAGAUUUCAUGGAGUUUUGUUGCAAAGGAAACUAUGGUUCCAUGAGUCUGUGAGAAGCUUGUGCUACAAAUACAUUCAUGGCGACUGUCCUCAGCUCACUUGGCAUUACACAGGGGUGUUGCUGCCUGAAAGCACAUCUAAGCAAACCCUCCAGCUCACUGCUGUGCAUUACACUGACAUUUUAAAGAGGAGAUUCUUUUUUUCUGUAUUUUUUUUUCAUCUGCUUUUUAAUGCACAUCUUUAAAAAAGGAAAUUUCUUGUUCUUUGAAUUUUCUCGUUGAUCAUGUCUGGAGAAAAGCCCUGGCACUGCAGAAGCUCAGACAGGCCAUGUGUGUAUUUCUUGUUACAGCCUGUUUCUGUGAAAUGGGAGCAUUAAUUCACUUCAUUCCUGUGCUUGGGCACAAACAGCCUUCAGUUGUUGUCAGACAUCUCGGGGUGCCUGGGUGCAUCCCUUACAAAAACAGCGUGUUAAAAUAGAUAAAUAAAUGCAGAGGAUAAAGUCUGAAACUUCCACUGAAUCUGGUGAAAAUGGAUAUUUUGAGCAAUUUAGAGUCCGAUUUCAAAUGCAUGUCAGGAGAGACUCUGAUCUGGUGGAUUAAUAGAGGACGCUGAGUCUCAGUUCCCCCCUCUGCUGGAGGGGGAAAGGAUAAUGCUACAGGAAGGAUAAUGCUAUUUACCUCCCUGCGGGGUUACUUCUCCACCCACUGCUCAUGUUCUGCUGUACAAGAGUAAAAUGCUUCAAGGCCAUUCAUUCAGUGUCAAGAUGCAGGAAACCUCUGAAUCGGAGCUGAGCAGACCCUGGAGGCAGCUCCUUAACACCGGCAGAGAACAGCCACAGCCUUUCCAUUUCAUUGAGAAUUUCAGCCUUUACCCGAAAUGCUCCUUUUGAAAUUUCUGAAUGCAAAGCUGGAGAAAUCCCCCCGGCUUCCUUCUCUGUGAUCCACCCACGCUUCUCAGUAACUGAUUUCCUUGAAGCUGGUGAUAUCUGUAUUCGGGCAGGAGGUGGUUUGGGAGCAGUGUCUGUGGGCACCCUGCAGCCUCCCCAGCCCCAUCCAUCACUGUGUUGAUCUCAUGCAGAUAUUCCCUCAUCACGAAGACAGAUUUGCUUUAAAAGUGCUCGUUUUCUAGUACAUUUACUUUGCACCCAGACAUGACACAAGUUCAUGUUGGUUUUGAGGGUAAAUAAAGGGCAAUGAGGACUUGAGCCCCAAAAUGUAUCCUAUGAGUUCUAUCCCUGCAGUGCGCAUUCAUUUUAAUGGUCCUUGCUGUGUGUUUUAUUGAAGGCUGAGUCAUAAGCAGAUCUUACUGCUUUGGAGGGAAGGAAAUGGAGUUUGGGCAAAAACAUUACAUGUCUCAAAUCCAGUAAAGAGACUGCUCAAGCUGUGAAAACACAAUGAUGUAUCUCAAUGAGAAGAGUCAGAUAGAAAUUCCUUCUUUGUGUUAUAGAUUUCAUCACCUGAAGUUUAUCUGAACUCUGAUUUUUCUGGUGACAGGGCCAUCACAAUGAGGGGGGUGGAUUCUGCUCCUGUCCCUCCCUUCAAAAACUCAGGUCUGUGGGCAGCAGGGCUUCCUCCCGGGGUCCCACAUUUCUGUAUUACAAUGAGAAACUUCUGCUCACCUCUUGGAGCUGAUUUCUGCACACAGCUGUGAUUGAGACUCAGUAUGGUAAAGGCAAAGCAUUUCUGGCUGAGGUCAUUGGGAAAGAUGAGAGGAGCUCCAUUACAGCAGCACCUGUGGGGUACAGGACAGUCCCUUUGGAGAUGGCCUUAGGAGCUCUGCCUUGUGCUGGUGAGGAGCCACACGAGCUGGGCUGUGCAGCUUGGGAGGAGGUGCUGCACCUGCUGGGCAAAUAGCUGUGCCCCCAUGUUAGAAGUUACCCUCAUCUCAUGCCAUGAGUAAGACUGGACUGCAGUGCAGUGAAAGAGAUGCCCUUUGUGAAGAACAGUAUCCUUUAUUUUUCUGUUUGUUUUUUUUUUUUUUUCUCACUAAAUCUGUUCAUAUUCUAUAAGGAAGAAACUGUAUCAAGUGCUAUCUCCGUUCAGAGGGAAGAUAUGGGAGACAGGCAGGGAUCAAACAGGGAGCGCAGCCCAGCAGCAGGAACAGCUUGGACACAGAGAUCAAGAAACUGCCAGGAGUGUGGAGGAGGCAGCUGGGCUGAGGGCUGCCCAGGGUGCCACAUGGAAAGGCACAACUGGCUGCAGCUCAGAACGUCCCUGACUUGCAGCCAAGCCUUGAAGUAGGUUCUGCAGGGAGCUGCGUGUUCAGUCACUGGUAGUUUGACUUUGAGUUUGUUCGGAAAGGUACAUUUCUUGAUUAGUUUGUGUGUGGGCACGAUGCCUUUCCUCUUCAGGUAUCUGCCCAGGACUUCACAGAGUGAGUGGGAAAUGUGUGGUCCCCAUGCUGGUGCAGCACCCAGGGGUUCUGUGGGAGGUUGUUGAAGAGUUGCCCAGGGGACCCAGCUCUCCUAACCCCAGCUCAGCUCCCACCCUGUGGUGCCUGGGAGCUCCCCUGCUGGGAGCACUGUCUCACAGUGGGGCAGUUGUGCUGUGCUGUGGCUGAGCUGUUGCAUUAUUUCAGGGUGACAUAUAGAAGAACACCAUUCCUGUGCCCAGGAGUGUUGCUUGCAGACGGCUCUCUGCAAUGAAAUGAUAUCUUCUGAAAGUCACUCACAGUGAUAUGAGGCAUGGCCAGACCAGUGUGGUUGUUUAUCAAAUUAUGAUUUGAAAAUCAUUAGAUGCAUGCUUGCAGACUGUUGCUGUUGAAUCCUCAGACCUGAGAUGUUUGUUGACCCACAUAUGAGAAUUGUUGAGUCCCAGCCUGAACCACUGAUUGAGCACCUGGGGAAAGGACCUGGUCAGCCCUGGGAGCACAGGUGAAGGCAAGAGACAAGAAGGGGUGGAGCCCAGCUGCACCUCUCAGCCUAUUUAAGGGCUGACUGCCAUUGGGGAAAGAUCUCUUUCUAGAGAUCCCUUCUUGGUGGAGCUUUCUUCUGUGAACCUGGAAUCUUCUGAUACAGCUCACCUACCUCUGUCUGCAAUGUGAGGAAGAGACAUGGGAACACAUUGCUGAAGAAAAAAAAGAAGAAAGGAAACAAACAGAAAAUUGAACUUGCCAGUAUUACCAUGGAGAGUGGUGUAACUGCAAAGGAACGGAUGUAUUUCAGCUCGAUGGGGACAAGUGUGCAAUUCUCUGGGCACGGUGGCUGAGCUGUAGUCAGCCUGUGCUGCGUGGGACCAGAUUCAUUAGCUUCGGUUCCCCUUGGUGCUCACUGCAGAGGAAAAGCUGCUCCUGGGUGCAGAUGUGGCAAUGAGACAGUCAGGAAUCUGCGUGAAAAGGACACGUAACAUGGUAAACGUGUUGAGGGGUCAGGACUGUUGAUUACAUGAGCAAAGCAGAGAGAAAGCAGCUGGUGUGGCAGAUAGAGCUGUAGGUCGGUGGGCAUCACCUUCAGGCUUUGUUUUCCAGCUGUAGCUGCACUGCCCGUGAGGGUGAGCUCUGGGCAGGUGUUUGUGGGCUGAUUAUUUGACUGUUUGAACCUCCUGCCUUGUCUCUGGCCUUGCCGAAAACCUGAAUGUAAUGUUGAAAUUGCAGUCUGUCACAGAACAAUAGUUUUCGACCUCCAUCAUGAUUGUCCUCUUAAAAGUAGCACAGAAGACUUUCAUGACAAGGCCAUUACUGUUGAAAGGACAAAGGGAAAGUAGUUAGUUGGCUGUGUUCGGAACUGGGUUAUCAAAUUAGCUUCAGUCACUUUCAAUUACAGAAUCUCAUGGUUUUGAAAUGAGUUCUAAAUGAGGGGCUAUAAUUCUUUGUCUGCAGUGAGCAAAAGAACAUAAUCAUCAUUAUUUAAUAGGAGCAUACAGUCUAGCUAGCUCCGGGAUAAGUUCGUCCAAAAGAAGAAAGCAUUCAAUUGGGAUGAGCAAGGGAAAAGAUUAUCAGCUGGCCAGACUUCAGUGCAUUUCUUUAGUCCUGCAGCUAUGGAAGUGACCUUGGGACUCGUCCAGGGGAGAUUCGCUUCCAGGGCCAUUCUGAACUUCUAGCUAAUGAAACAUAAAUACCAGAAAAAAUAGAGCAGUAGAAAUUGUCCUGUGUCGUUUCACCUGAAGUUUGGUCUUUGUUCUGCAGUGGCUCACCUAACUGUGGACAGGCACAUCUACUUAAGGAGCUUACGCUGCUUCUAGGGCAAAGAGAAACAGCUGUCACUGGAUUGUGAUGAGGUGGGGACACAAGUUUUGAGCACUGCUCAACAUAUUUUCAGGAAGAUGUUACAGAACAGAUGGUCAGUCCACAGAUGCUUUUCUCUUCCCGUUCACUGGAUUUCAAAGGGCAGAUCAGUUUGGCUCAAAUACCCGGGGAAAAAAUCGCCCUGCUGAAAUCAAGGGAAUUUUGCCAUUUAUUUCAACAGGUCAUUUCUGAAUCAACAUUGCCCUCAGGCUCAGGAAUGUGUUUAGAUUUACACACAAAUGAAAGCAACAGAGAAAUAAACCAUUUCUUUUCAAGUCCCACAGCUUUUAUUAAUUUGUUCGGUCCUUGUUCUGUACAUUAAAUUUAUUUUCAGCAAGAUUUCUAUUCUAUACAAGUUACAAAAUGGGUAUCUGGGGAAAACUCUCACCAUU